AGUGAACGCUGGCGGUAGGCCUAACACAUGCAAGUCGAACGGCAGCACAGUAAGAUCUUGCUCUUACGGGUGGCGAGUGGCGGACGGUUGAUGAAUACAUCGGAAUCUACUUUUUCGUGGGGGAUAACGUAGGGAAACUUACGCUAAUACCGCAUACGACCUACGGGUGAAAGCAUGGGAUCUUCGGACCUUUCGCGUUUGUAUGAGCCGAUGUCGGAUUAGCUAGUUGGCGGGGUAAAGGCCCACCAAGGCGACGAUCCGUAGCUGGUCUGAGAGGAUGAUCAGACACACUGGAACUGAGACACGGUCCAGACGACUACGGGAGGCAGCAGUGGGGAAUAUUGGACAAUGGGCGAAAGCAUGAUCCAGCAAUACCGCGUGGGUGAAGAAGGCCUUCGGGUUGUAAAGCCCUUUUGUUGGGAAAGAAAAGCAGCAGGUUAAUACCCCGCUGUUCUGACGGUACCCAAAGAAUAAGCACCGGCUAACUUCGUG
rnacentral:rRNA from 1 species